AGUGAACGCUGGCGGUAGGCCUAACACAUGCAAGUCGAACGGCAGCACAGAGGAGCUUGCUCCUUGGGUGGCGAGUGGCGGACGGGUGAGGAAUACAUCGGAAUCUACUCUGUCGUGGGGGAUAACGUAGGGAAACUUACGCUAAUACCGCAUACGACCUACGGGUGAAAGCAGGGGACCUUCGGGCCUUGCGCGAUUGAAUGAGCCGAUGUCGGAUUAGCUAGUUGGCGGGGUAAAGGCCCACCAAGGCGACGAUCCGUAGCUGGUCUGGGAGGAUGAUCAGCCAAACUGGAACUGAGACAGGGUCCAGACUCCUACGGGAGGCAGCAGUGGGGAAUAUUGGACAAUGGGCGCAAGCCUGAUCCAGCCAUACCGCGUGGGUGAAGAAGGCCUUCGGGUUGUAAAGCCCUUUUGUUGGGAAAGAAAUCCAGCUGGCUAAUACCCGGUCGGGAUGACGGUACCCAAAGAAUAAGCACCGGCUAACUUCGUGCCAGCCGCCGCCGUAA
rnacentral:rRNA from 1 species